rnacentral:rRNA from 1 species
GCCUGCAGCCAUACCACCCUGAACACACCUGAUGUUGUCUGAUUUUGGAAGCUAAGCAGGGUCAGGCCUGAUUUAAUACUUGGUGGGAGAUAUAUGAGGAGUUUUCAGCA